GGCCUCUUUGGGGUCCGAGUUGUAAUUUGUAGAGGGUGUUUCGGGCGCGAUGCCGGUCUAAGUUCCUUGGAACAGGACGUCGCAGAGGGUGAGAAUCCCGUACGCGACCGGCGAUCAAGCCUGUGUGAAGCCCCUUCGACGAGUCGAGUUGUUUGGGAAUGCAGCUCAAAAUGGGUGGUAAAUUUCAUCUAAAGCUAAAUAUUGGCCAGAGACCGAUAGCGGACAAGUAGAGUGAUCGAAAGAUGAAAAGCACUUUGGAAAGAGAGUCAAACAGUACGUGAAAUUGUUGAAAGGGAAGCGCUUGCAAUCAGACCGGUCCGGAGGCGAUCAGCCGCUGCUCGUUCAGCGGUGCACUCGCCUGCGAUCCGGCCAGCAUCGGUUUGGGCGGUGGGAUAAAAGUCCCGGGAAUGUAGCUUCUCUCGGGGAGUCUUAUAGCCCGGGUCGCAAUGCCGCCCGCCCGGACCGAGGACCGCGCUUCGGCUAGGAUGCUGGCGUAAUGGUUGCAAGCG
rnacentral:rRNA from 1 species